rnacentral:lncRNA from 1 species
CUGAAGUGAUCUGCCCACCUCGGCUUCCCAAAGUGCUGGGACUGCAGGUGUGAGCCACUGCGCCUGGCCCCUUCAGGUGGGUUUUGAGGCUUCACGUUGCUGCUGCAAUAAAUUACCACACACUUAGUGGCUUAAAACAGCACAGAGGUAUUCCCUUACAUUUCUGAAGGCCAGAAUUCUAAAAUCAGUCCCACUGAGUCAAGGUGGGAGCAGGGUCAGUGCCUUCCCAGGCUCUGCGGGAGAAUCUGUUUCCUGGCCCUGGAGGCGGCCUGUACUCCUUAGCUUGUGCUGCCCUUCUGGAAUGACUCGAGUUUCCUGCUUUCAUCACUACACCUCCCACCGCUCUCCAUCACCUGCUGUGCUCUUACGAGGAUCCAGCUGAGACAUGUUUUAGGAAGUUUGCUAAAAGACCCCUGGAGACGUCCUCAUUGUGGCCUCCCUGCUGUUGUGUUUAAUUUGGUUGAUCUUCUCUGCCCUCCUGCUUUUCAGAAUUAAAAGGCUAAAAAGAGUUUUCAGAGAAAUGGAAUAAUUGUAUUGCUGAUCUACGUAAACAAGUUGAAGAAUUGUCUGAAAGAAAAUAUGGUGUGUCUGAACUGGAAAAGUCCUGUGAUAGUUUGUUCAUGAGCAUUUACACAAUGGAGUUACUGUUCAUCAUGGGGGUACUGUGGACAAGCCCAGGGCUGCUGACAUAAUCUUAUGAAUUCAACACAUGAAGAUUUACAACUUGAUAAACCAGCUUCAGGAGAUCAGAACUUCUUACAAUACAACUGAUGUUACUCAGCCUAGAACAAAUACAACAGGGAUUGUGCUGCAUUCUGACUUAGGUUCUGCCAUCGAACACAGAAUGCCCUGAUCCUUAGAGGCAGAGGCAGCUCUUCAGCCUAUGGGAAAACUGUGGAUUUAGUUACUCCACUCUGCCAUGUCCUUCCACCACUGCCUGCACAUUUGAGACCAAGGAUAGAGAUUGGGAAAAAUCCAUAGUUCUCCUGACUCAGAGUUUGGCUCCGGCACUCUCAUUUCAGCCAUAGCUGCAGACAAAGCACACGACUGCUGGGCACUGUGGCUCAAGAGAAGGGGGAGAUGCAGGAAGAAGAUGAGCCUUAAGUCUGAACACUGAGGAAUUCAUGUGCAUCAGUCAGACCUCCUGUGCAAGGAAGGAUGUGGUUACUACGGCAACCCUGCCUGGCAGGGUUUCUGCUCCAAGUGCUGGAGGGAAGAGUACCACAAAGCCAGGCAGAAGGAGAUUCAGGAGGACUGGGAGCUGGCGGAGCGACUCCAGUGGGAGGAAGAGGCCUUUGCCAGCAGUCAGAGCAGCCAAGGGGCCCAAUCCCUCACAUUCUCCAAGUUUGAAGGAAAGAAAACCAACGAGAAGACCCACGAGGUUACCACAGUGAAGAAAUCUUCAGUGCGUCUUCCAGGGUCGGAUCAAAGAAGGCAGAAAUUCAGGAAGCAAAAGCCAGUCCUUCCAUAAACCGGCGAACCAGCAUUGAAACGGAUAGAGUGUCUAAGGAGUUCAUAGAAUUUCUCAAGACCUUCCACAAGACAGGCCAAGAAAUCUAUAAACAGACCAAGCUGUUUUUGGAAGGGAUGCAUUACAAAAGGUGCCUCCAGAAAGGGUUGAGAAGAUAAUGGAUCAGAUUGAAAAGUACAUCAUGACUCAUCUCUGUAAAUAUGCGUUCUGUCCAGAACCCCAGUGAGCCUGGAAGACUGGGUGCUAUGGGAAAUGUCAUCAAUCCAAUGCUAGUGAAAGAUGUGACUGGGGAAUGCUGAAAAAUGCGCACCCCUGGGAGGAAUGAGGAAAGAUGACAUCCACUGACUUGUUAUUUUUUUGAGAAGGAGUCUUGCUCUGUUGCCCAGGCUGGAGUGUGGUGGCACGAUCUCGGCUCACUGAUGAUGAGAAGAAAGAUCUUGCCAUUCAAAAGAGGAUCAGAGUGGAAGCUUCUCUGUGGUGUCAGAAAGACGAGGAAUGUGGUGACCUCACCUAUCCAUCUCCCUCAAGGCAGCUUUUGUUUUUCUGCAGUGACCGUACUUGCAAUAAUUAAACAUAGUUGGUCAUUUAAAAUACAUCUCUGAUACUCUCGUCAAAGGUGGAGCCCAGUCCCUAUCGCCUUGAGUGAGGGCUGGGUUACGUGAUUCCCUUCUGACAGAUAGGAAAAAGCAAAAGUGAUGGCUUGCAACUUUGCAAACUACAUCAUAAAAGGUACUGUGGCUUCCUCCUUGCUCACUCUUUGAUUACUCACUUGGGAAAGCCAGCUGUCACACCAUGACACCUAAGCAGCCUGUAGAGAGGCUCAUGUAACAGGAACUGAGGCCUCCUGUCAGCAGUCACAUGAGGGAGCCAUCUUGGAAACAGGCUUUAGGUGACUGCAGUCUCAGUGGACAGCUUGAGUGCAAUGUCAUGAGACACCCUGAGCCCAAAUGACCCAGCUAUGCCACUCCUGAAUUCCUGACCCACAGAAAUGGAGAUCCUAACUUAAGUUCUUGGACUCACUGAGGCAGUAAAAGAACCAUAUCCUGUGUUUGAAUCAAAUCCCAAGUUCCUGUACGUAGAAGGUUUGCCAGACAGGAUUCCCUUUCGAAGCCCUCCUGGUUUGGAAUUCCAUGACUUGAAAGGAUCGUCCAUGGGAGUAAUAAAAUCAAAUUUGUUGGUAAAAAACCUGAACUGGUUAUUUCCUACUUGCCUCCUGGAGUUGCUAAUAAAAUAAACACUAAAGCUUCGCAGUUUCUAAAAAGACCAUGAAGCCCUGAGAGUAAUGAAAAGGUUCCUGAAAUUGAGGUCACUGUGGAAGGAGAAUCUAAUGCCUGAUGAUCUGUCACUAUCUCCCAUCACCCCCAGAUGGGACCAUCUAGUUGCAGGAAAAGAAGGUCAAGACUCCCAGUCAUUCUACAUUAUGCCUCAGCCAAGAUGUCUCACCCCACUCUCUCUGAUGCAACAAGAAGCCCCUGGAGAACGUUUCAGUCCCAUUUUGUACUUCUGUCAUGUGCUCAUCACAGUCUGGUGGAAUUUAAAUGACCUCUUAUCAAGAUGGAUAAACCCAAGUUUCCCAGUGCUGGAAUAUAGAAAAUGGAUGGACAAGUAAGUCCCACUCAGCACCCAUAGCCCAGACAUGGGGACCUCAACACACCUGGGCCCCAGACAUCACCUUUCAUUCCGAGGCAUAUGCCAUUCAAGCUAAGGGUGCUACACUUGACCACUGCGGCAGUAUAGAUGAGUCUGAAGAAUGGUAUGGGAUGGAUACUUACGAAUGCACUCGAGCAGGGGUCUCCAUCCACAGGGCCACAGAGCCAGAGGUGAGCAGCAGCUGGAUCUACCAUGAAAGACUUCAGAGUCCAGGAAGAGAGACUGAUUGGGCAACAUGUUAUUCAGUUACAAAAAGACUUGGACUAUGACUCAAAAAUGAUCAAAUAAUAGUGCAUGCAUCCAAUGCAAUAAGAAGCACUUCUGGAGGGUGAGAGAAGCAUCCAGUUAAGGGUCUUGCUCUGUUGUCCAGGCUGGAAUGUGGU